AAAUUGAGUGCAAAUACGUAGAAGAAGAAGAAGCAGCAUUUUUCAGGCCGGACGUCGGACUUUAGAUCGGAAAGCGCGACAAUAGUUUGUCCCUGUUGUCAGACACCAGACAAACAAAAAAUAUAUUUUAAAAACAGCAGUUGAUUUUUGCAUUAAAUGCUUUUGGUUUGUGAAUAAUUUUUCCUCCCGGAAACUCACGAUCUCACAAGGGAGAAAUUGCAGGACACUGUUCAGACAGCAACCUUGCAGGUUUUUUUUUUUUUUUUUUUUUAGUCCACAAUGAUCACCAGAAGAAGAGGACGCACCAUCAGCAACACACCAUCCAUGGAGGCUGAAGUCAUGGAUGCAGUGGAAACUGUAAUAGACCUCCCAAGUCCUUCUGAUGGUUUCCCACCUGAAGACAGUGAUGAUAUCAUGCUACGUGACCUGUUCAAGACAGAGGGGAUGUCAUGGGCACUGGAAAGAGAUCCUGCAUCUAUUCUUUUCGACAUGGAAUUGUCUGAUCUUGGCCUCUUUUGUCACAACGAUCAAGAUUCGGGGUUUGAUGCCUCCUCAUCUCCAGAUAGAAUAGGACCAACUGACUUGAAGAACAAGAAUAGACGUAACCAGUCAAGCUGCGUGAUCAACAAGAAUGCUAUCGCUGCCAGAUUGAAUCGUAUCAAGAAGAAAGAAUAUGUAACUAGCCUAGAGGAAAAAGUCAGUGUCCUUUCAACAGAAAACACCACCCUGAAGCAGGAGAAUUCCCAGCUAACCAAGAGAGUGGAAGAACUAGAAGAUGAAACCAGGUACUUGAGAGCUGUGCUGGCCAAUGAGAGCAUGUUAGCCCAGCUCUUAUCCAGGUUGAGUGGUGUGAAUGGGAUGAAAUUAUCCUCCUCGCUUUUCCAGGGACCCGACGGCAACGACCACGACGGCAACGACCACGACUACGCCUUACCCAGAAAGCGCAUAAAAGUGGAGGAAAAAGAGACAUCUGGUGGCAUAUGUCUGCACGUGGACAAAAACCAAGUCUCAGUGGAGUUCUGCACCAAGUGUGCACAAAGCGCAAAUGCGUCACUCAAAAUGUAGGGUCAAGUACCUAUCUUUGUUUUCAGAUAAUGAGACUGAACUCAAUGUACUGAAAAGUUAGAUGGUAAAUGAACACUGACUUAUGCUAAGAUUACCUAAGAACUGCUGAAUGCAUGUAUUGUGUGAUGAUGGUUUAAGUACAUGUUACUGCUAAACCUUGUCGACAGUUUCUUCUAGGUAAUGGUUGAUCUACCAUGCUGGCUGAGUGGCUUUCUGAACACCUUUGUCUGCUUGACUCCAUGUGGAUUCUGCUGGUGGGCCGUCAAGAGACCGGACAAGCUGCUGCCAACGUGGCCUGGUAUUAUUUUUAAAGGUAGUAUCGGUAACAAAGUGGUAUAAGUGAUCGCAUUUCACCCAUACCUCCACACCAGUAGCAGUAGCCUUUUGUCAGGGAAGCUGCUGCAGCUCUCCUGGUCAGCUGACUGCAGCCCUUCCCUCUACUUCACUACACUAAGAAGUUGGUCCACAAAUUAUGUCUUGUAUAUAUUUACUUGUAUUCAACACAUUCUUUAAACUAGGAAGUUGACCGUUUGGUCAUGUUGACAAAUGUAACUGUACAUAUUUUGGACAGAUUGUGAGAAGUAAUUUACUUCUGAGAAAUGUACAAAUAAAUCAUAUUUUCAUUAAGUAUGAGGUACACAUAUCUAUUUUGUCUCAUUGUCUAUUCUGGUGAUAUUAAUGCUUCUCUUUUUCUCUUUCUGAACAGCAGCUCUCUGCCGAUAAAGGUCUUAACUUUCCUGAACUUUUGGGUCAAGUCUGGUAAAGGUUUAAAAAAAAAAAAAAAAAGGCAAAGAUCCUUCUUGAAAGAUGUCAAAAUACAGUGUGUGACAGGUGUGAUCUUUUUUCCAGUCAGAUGUAACCUGUACUGUCGCGGUAAAAACUUCCCACAUAGUCUUAAUCUGAGUGUUAGCACGAACUGCCAGGCAGCUGCAAAGCCUACCACUAGGGGCAGAUUUGAGUAACAGCCUUAUUUCUUCUUGGCAUGCUAGAUUAUGAUUACAAGUGUCUUGGUGACAUGAACUGUUACAAAGUUUUCAAUGUAAGAUAAGCAUCUUCAUUGUGUCAGGUUUGUUAUGUCAUUCAUUACCCUACGGUUUCUGUCCUUUUACCCAGUAAUGCCCCAGUGUUUCUGCUCCAGGCUCAUGUCCAUCACCUAAUUUGGCACGAAGAGGGGAUGACCUCCAAAUCACUGCCCAGGUGUGAGACAGAUGCUGUUUCUGGCACUUGUUUAAACUUGAAUAUAAUUCAAGGGAAGGUCAGGUUGAAUUCAGAUGACACUCCUUAAUCUUAAACAACAGUGCUAUAUCUUAAAAAUUGUAAGUUCCUCCUACAACAAUAGCUCUUCAGUGUAUAAUGUGCUAAAAAUAACCCAAUUUUGGGCUCUCUGAACUGAGGUAAUCAAACCUGACAAAAUUAAGAUGAUUCUGGCAAGAAAACAGUGUUUGAAAAGGAGACACACCAUCACUAAUUAUUAACUUAAGUUCUUCAAUGAUCAGCUUGUUUUAAGGUUAUUUUUUGUGAUAUAGCAGUGUCUUCAUGUAGUACUUUGUGUACUAUAAAAUGAGUAAAAUUCAGUUUUACUUUGCACCCAGGUCCUAAAUGACCUGGAGGUUGACCCCUGUUGCAAUUACAGAUGACAAGUAUUUAUCUAAGUGCUGACAUGAAAAGUUACUUAGCUAAGGGACAUGCAGCAGUGUCCCUGGUUUCUGGUCUUAACAGAUGCUUAACAAGACAUUUCUGUUGUUUACAGCCUGUGUAAGGGGUGGUCAUGCUAGGUUAGCAGAUGAUGUCGAUAGUUCAUGAUAUUAAAGGCUGCUCCAUAGGCAAAUCCACCUUAAAUGUCCCUUAAGCACUUUACUGUCACUUUACUGUCUACACCUGUAUUGUAUAUUAGCAGAUACAUAUAUGUAGGUUGCGUGUUGCCAGUUACCUAUUAUUGAUCACAUCAGAAUAUACUAUUACUGUUUUACUGGUCAUUAAAAUACGUCACCAUGUGUUCAGUGUAAUAGUUACAUGUGUGACAUUUGCAGCAAAAAAGAAAAAAAAAAAAGCGUGGGAAUAAGUUGUGUAUUCAGCAAGGCAUGAAUUAUUGGCCACUGCCAAACAGAUUACACCGAGUGGAGUGGGGACCGGUCCAAGAUGGCAGCCCACUGCUUGGUAACGCCGAUAGGCAGGAGCGGUUGAUUCGGCGUCUGGCACAGCUGUUGGCUCAGACACAACUGUCUUGUUGUACCAUCAAAAGCCACUAGAGGGUGCAAUCGAGACUACCGCAGAGCAGGGUAUAAUGAGCGGAGUUUUUUUGGGUUUGAUUUGACUGCACAUACAGAACACUUCUAUAAAAUGGCCGUUAGAGGGCACCAUAGGUAUAUUCAAAGUGAAAUGUCCUACAUCCCAAACAUAACUAAUUCAUAAAGGGAACAAUGAUCUCAUAUCUAAACUCUAAAGGCUUGUUAAUGCGGAACAAAUGUUCCUCCGAGGGGAAUGUGAGGAAUUCCUUCUUCUUGAUUCUCUUCAGUCUAAGAGCUUGUUAUGUUAAAGCCCCCACAGGGAUGUGUCGGGUUAAUUUUGUGAACACACAGCACAUCAUCGGAACUGUUUCCUAGCGUUUACACUGUUAUGUAAGUUGGCUGUUGCACAAGGUUAAAGUGCUGGAAAAUAAAUCACCCUCCUAACCUGUUCAUAUUAGGAAAAGGCAGAAUGCUGCUCCUCCUCAUGUGAGUCUAACUCAAAGAGGAAGUCUCAGGAAGGCCUCUGAACUCGGGGGUCCCUGGGCAGCUUCAUGUAAAGGUCAACUAUCAGUGCUGAAUGGCCUCUCUAUGUUGUCUGCUCCUCCUGUUAUGUCUGAAUCUCCACCAGACUUUUCCUGUGUCUGAGCUGAAGCUCACAGAGGGCAGGGAUGAUGGUGGAAAAAGAUCCAACGACCAAAAAUGGUCCUGCAGUUUGUGGCUGUUUCUGCUGGUGGCCUGUGACACAGAGUAGGUCCUAUCAUUACAUCAGACAUAAUGUUGGGUUCACUGUUUUAGAUCUGGUUGAAAAACCAAAACAAGUCACAAAAUGAUGGAAAUCCUAGUUUUUGGUUAUGGACAUAAAACCCAUAAAAAAACGACAUUUCAGUAAGUUUGAAGCUAAGUCUACUGUAAGCCUUCAGCUCAGCUGAAAGGUCCAUUCAGUAACCUUAAACAAAAACAGUCAGAGUGGAUCUUCUUACUAAGAAUAUGUGUGUGUGUUACUUUAUGCUGAUCUGUCCUUGUUCAAGUCUCCUCAUAACUAGUUUAUGUGGCCUGGUACCAAAUGAAAAUAAUUUGAGAGAUUAUGUAUGACAUUCAUAGUAAACUGCAUUUAUAUAUGCAGAUUGACCUAGUGUGUAAAAUAGAUUAGCUAUUUAUAUUUAUUUUUUCUCUCACAAUAAGUCUUGUGACCAGAACUGCGCGCUGGACAUUGAAUUUCUGUUUGGAGGCCGCUGUAAUGUGUAGCCAUGAUUGUAACAAACUCCCAUUCGACCUUUUGUGUUUUGAAAUAAAUUAAUAUCACAGAAGCGAA